UCAAACUUAUGCAGGAAGCUUGCUUGCUACUCUUCUUUGAACCGAAGAGCAUAACAAUAGCAUACCUAAUACAAAUUUGAAUAUUCAUCCCCGACCAUUGCUUUUUCGCCAAAACAAAGCAAGCUUCUUUCCGUGAAAAGAUCAGCUUCGAGUGUCAUCAAGCUAUGAACCAGGAAAAUGAUGAUCCAAAUGACCAGUCAUGGCGUUUAUUCACUUCCGAGGACAUGAUAGAUGGUUAUAAAGCGCUGAAAAGACGGAAAAAAGGCACGAAGAUGAACAAGGAUGGUAGACGAUUUUCGAACAAUCAAACGCAUGCACCCCCCACUUCCUCUACUAGAGAAUCGUGUACAAACAAAUAAAAUGCUUAGUCUAUGUAUUUUGGAAUUUUGAAUAUCGACUGUGUUAUGAAUUUUAAUUUGUGUUAUGAACCUAUGUGUUAUUAAUUUAUGAAUAUUAGUUUGUGAU